AUUGAACGCUGGCGGCAUGCCUUACACAUGCAAGUCGAACGGCAGCAUGGAGAGCUUGCUCUCUGAUGGCGAGUGGCGAACGGGUGAGUAAUGCAUCGGAACGUACCGUGUAAUGGGGGAUAACGUAGCGAAAGUUACGCUAAUACCGCAUACGACCUGAGGGUGAAAGCAGGGGAUCGCAAGACCUUGCGUUAUACGAGCGGCCGAUGUCAGAUUAGCUAGUUGGUGAGGUAAAGGCUCACCAAGGCGACGAUCUGUAGCGGGUCGGAGAGGAUGAUCCGCCACACUGCGACUGAGACACGGCCCAGCCUCCUACGGGAGGCAGCAUUGGGGAAUUUUGGACCAUGGGGGCAACCCUGAUCCAGCCAUGCCGCGUGAGUGUAGAAGGCCUUCGGGUUGUAAAGCUCUUUCAGCCGGGAAGAAAUCGCACAGGCUAAUACUCUGUGUGGAUGACGGUACCGGCAUAAGAAGCACCGGCUAACUACGUGCCAGCCGCCGCGGUAA
rnacentral:rRNA from 1 species